GACUCGUCUCUUCCCUGUCCUUGCGAGCUCCACGAGAGGGCGACGUCUCAGCCGCCGUCGACUCCCCAUGCCGUGCACGGCCGGCACAGAGAGGCACGGCGCCGGUGCCUCUGCCGCUCCCUCCUCCACCCCCGCCUACUCUUCCUAUUUCUCCCGACGAUUGUGGCCGCAUAUGCUCCAAGGAACCCCUAGGUGCCUGUUCUCAUCUCUUUCUCUCUCCCCCCCUCUCCCUCCGGCAUGGACCUAGUCAGGGGCUCCAUGGUGCACCGGUGCGGACCCAACCCCAGCACGAGCGGUGCGCUGCGCAGCCUCUCUCGUCCUCUUACGAUGUCGCGUGGUAUCGACCGGCCCCCGCAGUGUCGGCACACUGGCGCCGCUAGGCCAUUAUCAUGGGUGCAGCCGUGGUGUCGACGACCGCUAUCCCCUCCUCCGUGCAUCAAUCGAUGCCAACCACAUUCUCUUGGAUAUCGCCGUUUGUAUUUGCACACCCAAAAUGAUUGAUGUUUAGCGGAAUGGAAUUUGGAGGUGAUUGCUGCAGAUUUAGCUGUCGCCUUUUCUUUGGCUACAUCGUCUGCUGCAUGCAAGCCUCUUUCUUCAAAAAUCGUAUUUCUAAACUUAUUUCUAUGUGGUAUGGUUUGUGCUCUUUUAUAUCCAUUUGCUAAUUUUUGGAUGAUAUGCCAUAGUUUUAUGCAUCUCAGGUACAACAUAACAUGGUAGCUGUUUCCAUGUCCACUGGUGCGAACUUCGCCAUCAUUUCAAUGCUUUAUUUUUUGUUUACUUCUUUUCAUUCUACCUAAGGGGCUAAUUUCACUACCCGUGCUUUUUCCUUCGCAGGUUGUGCUCAACGGUGAGAUAUGAUGGGAUGGGAUCGUCAUAUUUUCUGGUCAUGGGUACUAAAGAAUUAGCAGCUAUUAAAUGU
rnacentral:lncRNA from 1 species